UACGUAGGGGGCAAGCGUUGUCCGGAAUCAUUGGGCGUAAAGCGCGUGUAGGCGGCCAGAUAAGUCCGCUGUGAAAUCUCGAAGGCUCAACUUCGAGCUGUCGGUGGAAACUUUCUGGCUAGAGUCCGGAAGAGGAGAGUGGAAUUCCUGGUGUAGCGGUGAAAUGCGCAGAUAUCAGGAAGAACACCAGUGGCGAAGGCGGCUCACUGGUCCGGUACUGACGCUGAGGUGCGAAAGCGUGGGGAGCGAACAGG
rnacentral:rRNA from 1 species